CUAUAUGUUAGAGUGUCUGCUCCAAAAUCAGAAUUGAAAGAUAAGCUCAGGAUGGAGCUUGCUGCAG